ensembl:lncRNA
CAUAUUUUUAUUCAGUUGUCUGCCUUCCUCCAGAUUGAGAAGCCAGUUAAUCCAUCUUUAUCUGCUUAUAUUUAGUUUUUUUUUUUAAAUCUCAUUGAUGAGAAUAGAUUUCGAAAACGUUUUUAUCAUCAAUUCAAGGGUAUAAUGGGUCAAACACCAGCCUCUUUGGACCAAGAGAAGCCCCAGCAUCAUCAACGUUUGUCUCCGAAGCCGUUAGCUUGAAGAAUGUUCUUCUGAAGAUCUUUAACAAUGCAUAACUUUGACUACAUCACACACCCCCGGCCUCCAUUAACGGCUGCCAGAACCAUCCAUAUUCAUAGUGGAAUGGGCAGGAAGACCGGCUUUUCUGCUCUGACAAACCCAAAGUAGCCAAGGAUCGACUUGAUUCGAAUGAACUCGGAGGAGAAGGGAUCAGGGGAUCAGUGGCAGAAGUGCAAAACCCCGGGGGCCUGUAUUUGGAAUAAGAAAAGCAUUGCUGCUUUGCGACUGGACGGACGAAAGAAAGGACUCCUCUGACAUUUCCUGUGGAUGUUUUAAUUCGGACGCCUCGUUACCGAGGCUUUGCAGUCAACUGCCUGGGCAUAUACUGAGCUGUCUAAAGAGUGGCAAGCGGCCACGAGAACGGAGGACGGAGGACAGAGCUGUGUUGGGGAUUCAAUCAAGACGGCGGUCGAGGAAGCA